rnacentral:misc_RNA from 1 species
UUUCCGUAGGUGAACCUGCGGAAGGAUCAUUAAUUAUAUAAGGCAACAGGGCAAGCUUUCCGAAAGGAUCGGGCUUGCUGUGUGAACCCUACCUACCCUUGCUUUUUGCGUACCCAUUGUUUCCUCGGCAGGCUUGCCUGCCAGUAGGACCCUCUUAUACCCUUUGUAAUUGCAGUCAGCGUCUGAAACAACGUAAUCGUUACAACUUUCAACAACGGAUCUCUUGGUUCUG